rnacentral:rRNA from 1 species
CCUACGGGACGCAGCAGUGGGGAAUAUUGCACAAUGGGGGAAACCCUGAUGCAGCAACGCCGCGUGGGUUCAGGAGCGUUUCUGCGCGUACCGCCCUGUCAGCGGGGAAGAAGAAAGCCGGUACCCGACCAAGAAGCCCCGGCUAACUACGUGCCAGCAGCCGCGGUAAUACGUAGGGGGCGAGCGUUAUCCGUAAGUAAUGGGUGUAAAGGGAGCGUAGACGGCGAGGUAAGCCUGAAGUGGACGCCCGCGGCCCAACCGCGGAACUGCUUUGGAAACUGUUUUGCUGGAGUAUGGGAGGGGUAAGCGGAAUGCCUGGUGUAGCGGUGAAAUGCGUAGAGAUCAGGAGGAACACCGGUGGCGAAGGCGGCUUACUGGACCAUAACUGACGUUGAGGCUCGAAAGCGUGGGGAGCGAACAGGAUUAGAUACCCGGGUAGUC